ACAGUGGACGCGAGCAUCUGUGGCCAAGUUUUUAAGGGCGCACGGUGGAUGCCUUGGCACCAGGAACCGAUGAAGGACGUGGGAGGCCGCGAUAGGCCCCGGGGAGUCGUCAACCAGGCUUUGAUCCGGGGGUGUCCGAAUGGGGAAACCCGGCAGUCGUCAUGGGCUGUCACCCGCUGCUGAACACAUAGGCAGUGUGGAGGGAACGCGGGGAAGUGAAACAUCUCAGUACCCGCAGGAAGAGAAAACAACCGUGAUUCCGGGAGUAGUGGCGAGCGAAACUGGAUGAGGCCAAACCGUAUGCGUGUGAGACCCGGCAGGGGUUGCGCAUGCGGGGUUGUGGGAUCUCUCUGCCACGGUCUGCCGGCCGUGGGACGAGUCAGAAACCGUUGAUGUAGGCGAAGGACAUGCGAAAGGUCCGGCGUAGAGGGUAAGACCCCCGUAGUCGAAACGUCAGCGGCUCGUUUGAGAGACACCCAAGUAGCACGGGGCCCGAGAAAUCCCGUGUGAAUCUGGCGGGACCACCCGCUAAGCCUAAAUAUUCCCUGGUGACCGAUAGCGGAUAGUACCGUGAGGGAAUGGUGAAAAGUACCCCGGGAGGGGAGUGAAAUAGUACCUGAAACCGUGUGCCUACAAGCCGUGGGAGCGUCGGACAUCAGCUUGCUGGUGUCUCGUGACUGCGUGCCUUUUGAAGAAUGAGCCUGCGAGUUUGCGGUGUGUUGCGAGGUUAACCCGGGUGGGGUAGCCGUAGCGAAAGCGAGUCCGAAGAGGGCGUUUGAGUAGCACGCUCAAGACCCGAAGCGGGGUGAUCUAGCCAUGGGCAGGUUGAAGCGGAGGUAAGACUUCGUGGAGGACCGAACCCACCAGGGUUGAAAACCUGGGGGAUGACCUGUGGUUAGGGGUGAAAGGCCAAUCAAACUCCGUGAUAGCUGGUUCUCCCCGAAAUGCAUUUAGGUGCAGCGUCGUGUGUUUCUUGCCGGAGGUAGAGCACUGGAUAGGCGAUGGGCCCUACCGGGUUACUGACCUUAGCCAAACUCCGAAUGCCGGUAAGUGAGAGCGCGGCAGUGAGACUGUGGGGGAUAAGCUCCAUGGUCGAGAGGGAAACAGCCCAGAGCAUCGACUAAGGCCCCUAAGCGUACGCUAAGUGGGAAAGGAUGUGGAGUCGCACAGACAACCAGGAGGUUGGCUUAGAAGCAGCCAUCCUUGAAAGAGUGCGUAAUAGCUCACUGGUCUAGUGAUUCCGCGCCGACAAUGUAGCGGGGCUCAAGCGUACCGCCGAAGUCGUGUCAAUCCAGUGUGUGCCCUAACGGGUGCUGGGUUGGGUAGGGGAGCGUCGUCUGCCGGGUGAAGCAGCACCGGAAGGUAGUUGUGGACGGUUGACGAGUGAGAAUGCAGGCAUGAGUAGCGAUUCACACGUGAGAAACGUGUGCGCCGAUUGACUAAGGGUUCCUGGGUCAAGCUGAUCUGCCCAGGGUAAGUCGGGACCUAAGGCGAGGCCGACAGGCGUAGUCGAUGGAUAACCGGUUGAUAUUCCGGUACCCGCUGUGAAGCGCCAAACAUCGAAUCCAGUGAUGCUAAGCCCGUGAAGCCGCCCGCUUUCAGCUUUGCUGUUGGUGGGAGUGGUGGAGCCGGUGACCCGAGCUGGUAGUAGGUGAGUGAUGGGGUGACGCAGGAAGGUAGUCCAUCCCGGGCGGUGGUUGUCCCGGGGUAAGGGUGUAGCCCGAGUGGUAGGCAAAUCCGCCACUCGUUGUGGGUGAGACCUGAUGCCGAGCCGAUUGUGGUGAAGUGGAUGAUCCUAUGCUGUCGAGAAAAGCCUCUAGCGAGUUUCAUGGCGGCCCGUACCCUAAACCGACUCAGGUGGUCAGGUAGAGAAUACCGAGGCGUUCGGGUGAACUAUGGUUAAGGAACUCGGCAAAAUGCCCCCGUAACUUCGGGAGAAGGGGGGCCAUGUCUGGUGAUCACUCUUGCAGUGUGAGCUGGGUGUGGCCGCAGAGACCAGCGAGAAGCGACUGUUUACUAAAAACACAGGUCCGUGCGAAGCCGUAAGGCGAUGUAUACGGACUGACGCCUGCCCGGUGCUGGAACGUUAAGGGGACCGGUUAGCUCACCUUCGGGUGGGCGAAGCUGAGAACUUAAGCGCCAGUAAACGGCGGUGGUAACUAUAACCAUCCUAAGGUAGCGAAAUUCCUUGUCGGGUAAGUUCCGACCUGCACGAAUGGCGUAACGACUUCUCGACUGUCUCAACCAUAGGCCCGGUGAAAUUGCACUACGAGUAAAGAUGCUCGUUUCGCGCAGCAGGACGGAAAGACCCCGGGACCUUUACUACAGUUUGAUAUUGGUGUUCGGUUCGGCUUGUGUAGGAUAGCUGGGAGACUGUGAAGCGGGCACGCCAGUGUUCGUGGAGUCGUCGUUGAAAUACCAGUCUGGUCGUGCUGGAUGUCUAACCUGGGUCCGUGAUCCGGAUCAGGGACAGUGUCUGAUGGGUAGUUUAACUGGGGCGGUUGCCUCCUAAAGGGUAACGGAGGCGCCCAAAGGUUCCCUCAGCCUGGUUGGCAAUCAGGUGUUGAGUGUAAGUGCACAAGGGAGCUUGACUGUGAGACCGACGGGUCGAGCAGGGACGAAAGUCGGGACUAGUGAUCCGGCGGUGGCUUGUGGAAGCGCCGUCGCUCAACGGAUAAAAGGUACCCCGGGGAUAACAGGCUGAUCUUCCCCAAGAGUCCAUAUCGACGGGAUGGUUUGGCACCUCGAUGUCGGCUCGUCGCAUCCUGGGGCUGGAGUCGGUCCCAAGGGUUGGGCUGUUCGCCCAUUAAAGCGGUACGCGAGCUGGGUUUAGAACGUCGUGAGACAGUUCGGUCCCUAUCCGCUGUGCGCGUAGGAGUCUUGAGAAGGGCUGUCCCUAGUACGAGAGGACCGGGACGGACGAACCUCUGGUGUGCCAGUUGUUCUGCCAAGGGCAUGGCUGGUUGGCUACGUUCGGGAGGGAUAACCGCUGAAAGCAUCUAAGCGGGAAGCCUGCUUCAAGAUGAGGACUCCCACCCACUUGAUGGGGUAAGGCUCCCAGUAGACGACUGGGUUGAUAGGCCGGAUAUGGAAGCACGGUAACGUGUGGAGUUGACCGGUACUAAUAGGCCGAGGGCUUGUCCUCAGUUG
rnacentral:rRNA from 1 species